CUUCCUGGACCCUCUCUCUUCCCCGGCCUCUCUCCCUUUUCUUCCGGAGCAGCCCACCAAGCCCAGCAACGGCCCUUCCACCUCAGCCCAUACCCCUUCGAACCUCCUGUGUCGUCUUCCCCUUUCCAGCUCACCGGGCACGCACAUGGCGUGGUGGAGGCAGUGGUCCUCCCCGCCUAGAGCCAACCACUCCCUCCUCCCUCUUAUCUCUUCGAGCCGAGGCUCCCCGAAACCCUAGCGCCCCUCCUCUCCCCUCCCUCGUGCCGCCACCUUCCUUUUUUCCUCACGUUCUUUUCUUCUCUGUGAACACCACCGUUUGCCUCCUCCUCAACCUCACCGUGGCGCCGCCGCUACCGAUCGCCCCUCGACGAACCGAAGACACCGGGAGAACCGCCUCGUCGAGCUCUACGUCGUGGUGAAAGGAAUCGAGUUAUUACCCGGUAAAUCGAGCGCACGGUCGCCGUUUCUUCUCCAACUAUCGGCGAGUUCAUCGUCGAUUCCGCCGGACAUGGUGCCUCUCCGGCCUUCUCGUCGCCUCCAUCGUCUUCCCCAAGUCAAGGCGCACCUUCGACGCCCUGUGCCACGUCCCAGUUCGCCCGGGAGCUCCAGGUCCGUGCUCGACCAGUGGUUUCCGCCAUGGCCGGCCUCACCGAGCUCCAUCUCGUUCGCUUAAGAAAGGUCGUGUGGCCUAGGAUCUCCAACAACUGAACUGCAGCCCAGUGAUCUCGCGGCCAGAGAUCCCUCAUUACCUACGGAGCCCUUCUGACUUCAACAGCAACAAGUAGCCCAGCUGAUCCGGCUAACUGGGCCUUAGCCCAGAUUCCUCUCUCGGCGCCAGUCCCCUAUCCAGCGCCAGCAGCAAGCCAGAUCCGGCCCAGGACCGUGCAGCAUUUGCUUCUUCCCGGAUAGGAUCGCGAAGUGGUGUGGUGAGAUACGACAAGUUCUCCGGAUGUUCCUCGGCAAGCUUUAACAGGCAAGCAUUUUCCCCUAUACUUCUGCCCCUGCAGAAGUCGCUCACCUAUUUUAUUUUGCCUUCUCCCUCAUGCUAUCCUUAAGUUGCGUUCUUGUCACGUGUCCCUUCCACUUGUUACCUCAAGCAGACCAUAUUGCCACCACCAACCACCAACCUCCUACAGCUGUUGUUUGGUUAUCGGGUCUGCCUUGCGAGUCGUAGUGCAUGCUAGUGUUGUUUUAUCUCGUUACCGUUAUUGCUAUCUUAUCGGGUUAUCAGUUGGGAAUCAUGACACAUGGUUUAUGGAUAUAUCUGUUGAGGGUAUCAUGGUUACUUGUUAAUAGUUGUUAGCGGAGGCAUCGGUGGGUCAGUUGCUCGUUUUAUGACGGCUCACUUGUGUUUCCUAAAUAUCUUAGGACCCCGAGUUCUUGUUAUCUGUUCCGAGACUGAGCGCUCUAACCACACGUGGGUAUGUUUCUGGGUCUCCCCUCGACCACUGCCGGAAUCUACAGCUUUGUCCAGUGGCCACAACUAGUUUGCAAUGUUUUACCAUUUGUUGUUGCGUGCAUGCCAGCUUGUUACUUAUUUACUUUGGGAAGCCCCUGGGUGCCUUGUAUCCCUUGUUUCUGGUAUGCACGUAUAGGUCGCGGAGCCGCUGCGAAGUGGUUUAUCGCCCCAGUGUGUGUUUAAACCACCUAGUACGCUGUCGCAAACAGCUAGGUCCGCUUCGGAGAUACGGCCGGACUUCGAUACGGGUUCAACUUGGUUAGGUGGCUUCCUGGACAUUGUUGUCGUGAAGGAGAGUGCGAGUCGUGAUAUCCACCUGUCGCAAGUGGGUUGAUCGUGCGUGUGGGCACAUUUGGGCACCCCUGCAGGGUUACAAUCUUAUCGAUAAGCCGCGUCCGCGGUUAUGGACGACUUGGAGCUGUAUGACUCGACCAUAGACAACUUACACCUGUUGUUUCCAUACUAAUAACUUGCAUAGUAAGAAAGAACAACUUAAAUAAUAACUGGUUAAAACUUGUCAACCGUGUGAGUGCCCUUGUAAGUACCUCCUUGCGAGGGGGGAACACAUCGGCUGAGUUAUGUUUGCAGAGUAUAGAACUGUUAGUUACGCUCUCUCACCUUCUCUGAUAGACGGCUGUUGUAGAGUGUCUCUAUAGGUUUUUAGUGCUUGCGCGCUGCCGCUUAACCCCACCAUAUUGCCUAUGACGUUCCUCUUGCGUCCUCUAAGUCCCCUGCGUGCCUCAAGUACAAAGGACGACUGGUUGACGAAUGCUUAUACGUCUUGAAGUCUUGUUAAGUACGAACCCGUACUUAUUGCUGCUUCUACGGGAUAUAACCGGGCAGGUAUGAAGAUAUGUUCGAUGAAGACGACGCUAGCAAGGUUACCCUUCCGGCUUGGCCUGGGCAGGGUUAUGGACGCCAUCGUUUAUCUUCAGGACUCUUAGUCCAAUUUGUAUCUUGUCCGCACUCGGAUGUAUUUGGUCUUCUGUAUGAUUUGGAUCUUUGUAUGUAUCUAUUUGUAUCUUGACUCGUUGGAGUCGUUGCUGUAAUAUAUCUGUAUCUUGUGGGCUCUA